AGUCCAGACUCCUACGGGAGGCAGCAGUGGGGAAUAUUGCACAAUGGGGGAAACCCUGAUGCAGCGACGCCGCGUGAGUGAAGAAGUAUUUCGGUAUGUAAAGCUCUAUCAGCAGGGAAGAAGUUGGCGGUACCUGAGUAAGAAGCCCCGGCUAACUACGUGCCAGCAGCCGCGGUAAUACGUAGGGGGCAAGCGUUAUCCGGAUUUACUGGGUGUAAAGGGAGCGUAGACGGCAGUGCAAGUCUGAAGUGAAAGCCCCGGGCUUAACCCGGGAAUUGCUUUGGAAACUGUACGGCUGGAGUGCUGGAGAGGUAAGCGGAAUUCCUAGUGUAGCGGUGAAAUGCGUAGAUAUUAGGAGGAACACCAGUGGCGAAGGCGGCUUACUGGACAGUAACUGACGUUGAGGCUCGAAAGCGUGGGGAGCAAACAGGAUUAGAUACCCUAGUA
rnacentral:rRNA from 1 species